rnacentral:miRNA from 8 species
AGGCCUGGGCCUGUGCAAUGCU